rnacentral:rRNA from 1 species
AUGGCGACCGGCGCACGGGUGAGUAACGCGUAUCCAACCUGCCCUUUACUGUGGGACAGCCCGUCGAAAGGCGGAUUAAUACCGUAUGUUGUCAUGUUGAUGCAUAUUUUCAUGACCAAAGGCUUCGGCCGGUAAAGGAUGGGGAUGCGUCUGAUUAGCUUGCCGGCGGGGUAACGGCCCACCGGGGCGACGAUCAGUAGGGGUUCUGAGAGGAAGGUCCCCCACAUUGGAACUGAGACACGGUCCAAACUCCUACGGAAGGCAGCAG